rnacentral:rRNA from 1 species
UACGGGGGGGCAAGCGUUGUUCGGAAUUACUGGGCGUAAAGGGUCUGUAGGUGGCCCGCUAAGUCACACGUGAAAUCCCUCAGCUUAACUGGGGAACUGCGUGUGAUACUGGAUGGCUUGGAUUUGGGAGAGGGAUGCGGAAUUCCAGGUGUAGCGGUGAAAUGCGUAGAUAUCUGGAGGAACACCGGUGGCGAAGGCGGCAUCCUGGACCAAUAUUGACGCUGAGGAGCGAAAGCCAGGGGAGCAAACGGG